rnacentral:rRNA from 1 species
CCCUUAGAUGUUCUGGGCCGCACGCGCGCUACACUGACUACUUCAACGAGUUGUUUCCUUGAUCGAAAGGUCUGGGUAAUCUUUGAAAGGUAGUCGUGAUGGGGAUAGAUCCUUGCAAUUUUUGAUCUUCAACGAGGAAUUCCUAGUAAACGCAAGUCAUCAGCUUGCAUUGAUUACGUCCCUGCCCUUUGUACACACUGCCCGUCGCACCUACCGAUUGAAUGGUCCGGUGAAUCUUUAGGACUGUGGCUGAGGCCUUGCCUUGUGCGGGUCUGGCCGUGGGAAUUUAGUUAAACCUUACCAUUUAGAGGAAGGUGAAGUCGUAACA